UCUCUCUUUCUCUAAGCUCAAAUUUUUAGGGUUUCCUUUGUUUGGGUUUAAAUUUGCUUCCAUUUACUUUGAUUUCAGUUGCAUGUGUAAACUUUUGUAUUGAAUUUUGAGUCCAUGUGAAUAAUGUAUGUUGAAAUUGGGACUUUUGUGUGUCGUAGAGGGAUUAUCAUAUUGAAGUUGGAAAGGGAUUCAUUUUGAGUCCAUGUGAUUAAUGUAUGUUGAAAUUGGGACUUUUGUGUGUCGUAGAGGGAUUAUCAUAUUGAAGUUGGAAAGGGAUUGGCAAAGAAUUGAGAACCAAGAAUUCUACACUCCAAAUUAAAAAUGGCCUAUUCAGUUUAUGAUGAACCAAGAAUUCUACACUUCCGAUUUGUUUUAACAACAUGGCAUUUUACAGUUGAUUAUGCUCAUUGCAGGUGUAAUGAACAUGACUAUGUAUAGUCUGAUAAUUGAGAGGCUUAGACCCCUUGUGGGUUUGAAAGGCUGGGAUUUUUGUGUUCUCUGGAAGUUGAGUGAAGACCAAAGAUUAGUGGGAACUGUAUAAUUAACUUUUACUACAAUUAUUAAUCUCUCCAUCUUCUCUUUCUGUGAAAUUUUAGAUGGUUGGUUUUAGAUUCAUUGAGUGGAUUGGUUGCUGUUGUUAUGGGAUUGGUGAGGACACCCAUAAUGGUGGACAAGAACUUCUGUUUCCAGUUUAUCAAGUCUUUCAGUGCAGGGAUGCAAUGCAGCUCUCAAGAACUAAUUCUUUUGAUAUCCUUGGUCAUCUUCCUUCCUCAAUGCCCUUAGACUCUGGGAUUUAUGCAAAAACAUUAAUGUCAAACCAGUCCUGUUGGUUGAACUGUUCCUCUAGUAACAGAGAUUCAAGUGCUAUGCUAGUCUCCGAGGACCAGCAUGUCAUUGAUUUCAUCACAGCACAAUGCAACAUUUGGUGCGAGCAAGACACCCUGGUGCAAGCAACACAUGUAGUACAAACACCCCUGUACUUUCCCCAUCAAUGGCAUCAUUGGAUCCUCAUGAUGCGAAUUUGCCAUACAAUAUCACAGUAGGUAAUCUAGUAAGCCUCUUGGCAAGGGUACAAAGAUAUGGGAGUCUCAAGUUGGAGGAUCAUUCACAGUGACCAGGGACUCCAGUGAGCCUCUUGGCAGGGGUACAAAAAACUGUCUUCACCUGACCUCAAGGAGACUAGCUCAAGUACCUUCAAGAGCGCAGGCUCAAGGAUUUAAUCAAGAAGCACUUUGAGUUGAUCAGCUACUCAACUUCCAGCAUUUUGUUAUGUCUUAUUGUUUUCUUCGGUGCUAUUGCAUCGCCCCAUGUGCUCUUUAGUUUUAUUUAAUAAAGAUUGUUGUUAUUUCA